GAGAGGGCCGCCGAGCCGCUUCACCUGCCGCAGAGGGGGCGGCUAGCGCCGCUUCACCUGCCGGAGCGGGAGGCGACCUAGGAGAAGCAGAGGCGGCGGCGCGCUCGGCGGCGCCUCCGGGUCCUAGAACCGCAUGCUCUCGCUCUCUCGGAUUCGGGGAACUGGCGGGGUCUGGGUGAAGGGGGUCACGGCCUGGGGGCCCGAGGGGAAGACCUUGGAGUCGGGGAUUGUCAGCAACUGCGAGCGCGGCUUGGAGACACCUGACGGUGCAGCGUUGGGGCGCAAAGACUGCGUCUGCCUCUAGGGUUCCCGACUGAGGUGGGAACCCCCUUCCAGGCCCCCCACUCCUUGUUUCUCUCCUUCCCUGUUUAGCCCAGAGCCGAGCUGAGGACCAGGGGGAACCAUCUGCAAAUGAGAACCCCAAAGCAGGGCGAGGGGCGCAGACCCAGGCCAGCGGAGACCCCCGCGACCCGUCCCACUCUGGACCAACUCAACGCCUGUGCCGGCAUCUCCAGUGGUUUUAGAUUGGGGGCCCCUACGGAAAAAAGCAGGCUGUGAGAAUCUGGGGACCACCAAGGUGGUCUUGAGGAGAAGCGCGGGGGUUGGGGAACGGCAGAUUAAAGCCAGCAUCCAGGCUGGGAAAGGAGCAGGCACUGCAGAGGGGAAACAUAUCUCCUUGACGCUGUCACCUCCAGGGAUCUAGGGUGGCCUCUCGCCUUGGAGAAUAACAAUCGCUGAUGUCUGGCAAUUACAGCAGUAUUUCCAGAGAUCUUCCUACAUUCAUCCUGACAAUGACCAGGAAAGGGCCCUGAAGCCCACACAAACUAAGGCAGAUGAGGCCACAUCCAGCCAGCAACCAAUUGGAACGAGGCACACAGAUGCCCAGAGCUGCCAGCUGAGAGGAGAGGGUGGGCUGAAGGAGCCGCCAAGAGCACCCAGGCCCAUCCUCCGGGCCAGGGGGCACCUACAAUGAGAAAAAGAGCCUUGUGCCUGGCACACAAUGAUUCUGAUGGGCAGUCAAGUUGAGAAGCAAGAAUUUAUUGGACAAAGGAGUUCUGCAAGGAGAGUGAACCUGGACUCCAGCUGGAUAGAAAGCAGCAGGAAAGCAAUCAUAUCAAAAGGCUUCUAGAAAAGAAGAAUGGUGGUUGCCAGGGGCUGGGGGGAGGGGGGAAUGGGGAGUUAUUGUUUAAUGGGUACAGAGUCUCAGUUUGGGAAGAUGAAAAGAAAAAAGUUCUGGAGAUGGAUGGUGAUGAUGUUUGCAUAACAAUGGGAAUGUACUUAAUGCCACUGAACUGUACAUUUAAAAAUGGUUAAAGAAUACGAGAGUCACAGAUUUAAAAAGAUAUUUAAUCCAGCCUAAAGAUAGGAUAUUGAAUUAGGUAACGUCUAGACAUCUCUCUCAUGCUUCCUUCCAAGAUACCUAUGUCGAUGUCUGUAUCCGCAUAGCUAUCUAUACCUUUAUAUAUCAAUGUAUAAAGAUACGCUUUGGGGAGGGGAUCUGGAUAAGCUGCUUUUAAACGUACUCUAGAAAAAUUAAAAAUCUAAGAAUAUCCAGGAAUCUUUAGCAGAAGGGUAAUAAGAGAAUAGAG